CAUGGUAUCAGAGGCUUCUAAACUUUUCUCUUUUCUUUCCUAUCCUUGGCUUUCUUACUUUUUUCACUCUCUCUCCCCCCCUCCUUCCUUUCCUUCUGCCAUGGCUGAUGCCUCUUCUUCGUCAUCUUCUUCUUCCUCUACCAUUGAUCAAGCCAUUACUUCUAUAUCUGUCCCAGUGAGAACCCAACCCUCAUCCUGGUUGUGCCCUCUCUUGAUGGUACCAAUUACCAUAGUUAGGCACGUGUGAUGAAGAUGGCCUUAUUAUCUAAAAGCAAAGUUAAGUUUGUUGACAGUAUGAUUAGUCUACUGAUGUCCACCAAUUCUCUCUUUCCAGCAUGGGAGUGCUAUAACAACCUCAUCCAAGGCUGGCUUACGAAGUCAGAUGUGGGACAAAUCACGCUAUCUUUAGUCAAAUGUUUUUCAAAUUGUUGAUCUCCAAGAGGAGAUAUGUAGCUUGAAACAAGGAAAUGAUUGGUUUAGCUAAACUCUUUGAAGUGCUUUAUCUUCUAAAUGUAAAAAUGAUUGGUUCAACCACAACUUCUCAAAUCAGUAUGAAUUCUUCUACCCCAAAUUCUACUUUAGCUUCAAUCCUAUGGUAUCUCCUAUUGGGCCACUUUGCCAAUUCUACCUUAAUCUUACAUAAAGUUGUUUCUAAAAUUCAUUGUAUUACUCAUUCAGCUAUUUGUGAUGCUUGUCACUUUACUAAGCAAAAGUGUCUUUCCUUUCUUGUAAGCUCAAGUAUUAGCAAUAAAAUUUUUUCUUUGAUAUA